UUAUGGCUCAGAUUGAACGCUGGCGGCAUGCCUUACACAUGCAAGUCGAACGGCAGCGCGGGGCAACCUGGCGGCGAGUGGCGAACGGGUGAGUAAUAUAUCGGAACGUACCCUGGAGUGGGGGAUAACGUAGCGAAAGUUACGCUAAUACCGCAUACGAUCUAAGGAUGAAAUGGGGGAUCGCAAGACCUCAUGCUCCUGGAGCGGCCGAUAUCUGAUUAGCUAGUUGGUGGGGUAAAGGCCUACCAAGGCAUCGAUCAGUAGCUGGUCUGAGAGGACGACCAGCCACACUGGAACUGAGACACGGUCCAGACUCCUACGGGAGGCAGCAGCUAAGAAUCUUCCGCAAUGGGCGAAAGCCUGACGGAGCGAACCGCCGCGUGAACGAAGAAGGCCGUGAGGUUGUAAAGUUCUUUUCGGGAGGGGGAACAACCGUGGCAGGGAAUGGCCGCGGGAUGACGUGAAUCCCGGAAUAAGCCCCGGCUAACUACGUGCCAGCCGCGGC
rnacentral:rRNA from 1 species